rnacentral:rRNA from 1 species
UACGUAGGGUGCAAGCGUUACUCGGAAUUACUGGGCGUAAAGCGUGCGCAGGCGGUUGUGCCAGACCGAUGUGAAAUCCCCGGGCUUAACCUGGGAAUGGCAUUGGUGACUGCACGGCUAGAGUGUGUCAGAGGGGGGUAGAAUUCCACGUGUAGCAGUGAAAUGCGUAGAGAUGUGGAGGAAUACCGAUGGCGAAGGCAGCCCCCUGGGAUAACACUGACGCUCAUGCACGAAAGCGUGGGGAGCAAACAGG